rnacentral:rRNA from 1 species
GACGAACCGAGCGAACGUUAUUCGGAAUUACUGGGCGUAAAGCGUGCGCAGGCGGUGAUGUAAGACAGGUGUGAAAUCCCCGGGCUUAACCUGGGAACUGCAUUUGUGACUGCAUCGCUGGAGUGCGGCAGAGGGGGAUGGAAUUCCGCGUGUAGCAGUGAAAUGCGUAGAUAUGCGGAGGAACACCGAUGGCGAAGGCAAUCCCCUGGGCCUGCACUGACGCUCAUGCACGAAAGCGUGGGGAGCAAACAGG